rnacentral:misc_RNA from 1 species
GAUGAAGAACGCAGCGAAAUGCGAUAAGUAAUGUGAAUUGCAGAAUUCAGUGAAUCAUCGAAUCUUUGAACGCACAUUGCGCCCUUUGGUAUUCCAAAGGGCAUGCCUGUUCGAGCGUCAUUUGUACCCUCAAGCUUUGCUUGGUGUUGGGCGUCUUGUCUCUAGCUUUGCUGGAGACUCGCCUUAAAGUAAUUGGCAGCCGGCCUACUGGUUUCGGAGCGCAGCACAAGUCGCACUCUCUAUCAGCAAAGGUCUAGCAUACAUUAAGCCUUUUUUUCAACUUUUGACCUCGGAUCAGGUAGGGAUACCCGCUGAACUUAAGCAUAUCAAUAAGCGGAGGA